rnacentral:rRNA from 1 species
CAGCAGCCGCGGUAAUACGUAGGGGGCAAGCGUUGUCCGAAUUCACUGGGCGUAAAGCGCAUGCAGGCGGCCGCACAAGUUGGAUGUGAAAUCUCCCGGCUCAACUGGGAGGGGACGUUCAAAACUGUGCGGCUCGAGGGCGGUAGAGGAAGGUAGAAUUCCCGGUGUAGUGGUGAAAUGCGUAGAUAUCGGGAGGAAUACCCGUGGCGAAGGCGACCUUCUGGACCGUUUCUGACGCUCAGAUGCGAAAGCUAGGGGAGCGAACGGGAUUAGAAACCCCGGUAGUCCUAGCCGUAAACGAUGUCGACUGGGCGUGGGUGGGGUAAAAGCCAUCCGUGCCGAAGCUAACGCGUGAAGUCGACCGCCUGGGGACUACGGCCGCAAGGUUAAAACUCAAAGGAAUUGACGG